GCCCUUUCCAAGCGCCGGCGGGUUUCCUAUAUGGGGGGUGUCGGCUUCGGCCGACUAUGAGGAUAAAUGGUGUCGUGGAAUAGACACAGCGGACCCGGGGGCAGUACCCGGCGGCUCCACCACAAACCCGCGUUUCUUCGAAGGACGCGCGGGUUUCUGACGGGGCCGAACCAGGAUCGACGUGUGUUCAAAGACGAUGCUUUCUUCCGGGCUGAGUAACCCGUUAAAGGCUCAAAACCAAUAAGUGCUAACGAUAACGAAGCACUCGCUCUUGCUGCCUGACCGAUAAGCCUCACGGCCUAAGGUUAGACAAAUAGAACGCGGUUCGGACCGAACCGGGCAACAGAAUCGGAAACC
rnacentral:tmRNA from 20 species